GCUAGAUUGUUGGUGGGGUCAUGGCCCACCUAGUCUGAUGAUCGGUAAGGGCCUUGAAAGAGGGAGCCCUGAGAAGGACACUGAGAUACUGGUCCUAGCCCUACGGGGUGCAGCAGGCGCGAAAACUUUACAAUGCACGAAAGUGUGAUAGGGGAACCCCAAGUGCUCAUGCACUGCAUGGGCUUUUGCCAAGAGUAAAUAUCUUGGCGUAAUAAGUGGUGGGUAAGACCGGUGCCAGCAGCCGCGGUAACACCGGCGCCACAAGUGGGAAUCAGAUUUAUUGGGCCUAAAACGCUCGUAGCUGGUUUGGCAAAUCCUUUGUGAAAUUGCUUCGCUUAACGGAGCAGCGUGCAGGGGACACUACUAGACUUGAGACCGGGAGGGGUCAAGAGUAUUCCUGGGGUAGCGGUAAAAUGUGAUAAUCCCAAGAGGACUACCAGUAACGAAGGUGCUUGACUAGAACGGUUCUGACAGUGAGGGGCGAAAGCCAGGGGAGCAAAACGGAUUAGAUACCCGAGUAGUCCUGGCCAUAAACGCUGUGAGCUAGGUGUUGCGUAUUCUUCGUGAAUGCGCAGUGUCGAAGAGAAGUCGUUGAGCUCACUGCCUGGGAAGUAUAGUCGCCACGGCCGAAACUUAAAGGAAUUGGCGGGGGAGCACUACAAGGGGUGCGGCGUGCGGUUUAAUCUAAUUCCACUCAGAGAAUCUCACCAGAGGCGACGGCAGAAUGAAGAUCAGUCUAAAGGGCUUAUCUGACGAGCCGAGAGGUAGUGCAUGGCGGCCGUCAGCUCGUGCUGUGAAGUGCCCUCUUAAGUGAGGCAACGAGCGAGACCUGUGCCUGUAAUUGCUAACGAGCUAUGCAAUCGAGCACUUUACAGGGACUGCCCUGGAAACAGGGAGGAAGGUGCAGGCUACUGUACGUCUGUAUGCUCCGAAUCUUCUGGGCUACACGCGCGCAACAAUGGUAUGGACAAUGGGAUGCAACUCCGAAAGGAGGAGCUAAACCUCGAAACCAUAUCUAAGUACAGAUUGAGGCUUGUAACUCAGCCUCAUGACGUUGGAAUCCCUAGUAAUCGGGUGUCAUCAGCGCCCGGUGAAUAUGUCCCUGCUCUUUGCACACACCGCCCGUCAAACCACUCGAGCAGAGUUUAGAUGAGUAUCAGUUUCUUAACUAAUCCGAAUCUAAGG
rnacentral:rRNA from 1 species